AUUUCCACGCUUCAGUAUGUCCUGUUACUCUCUCGCAGCAUCAGUUCAUCGUCGUCGUUUGAUAUAAGCGGACCGAUCCUUUGGGGUUUGAUUAGUUCAAUCGCCCACCCGUUUAUUUUACCCACAUAGAACUGGGGGUUUGUGUGUGCGUGUGUUCCGUUGUCGCUUGGUGGAAGGAUUCCCGGUGCGUCUGGUGUUUUAACAUUCCAAGCUAUUGUGCCGAAGUAUGGGGGAACUACGUGCACUCCGGAGUGGUUCAGCGAUUAUGAGGUUUCUUCACUGGGACACGCUAAUAAUUUGCAUGCUCGCUGUGAAUCUGUGUGCUUCGCAGCAGGCAAGCCCGACGAUAUCCUCUAUUAGUUCGGAACAAAUCAAGGAUAUCGGUGAUAGCGUAUCACUAGAGUGUGACAUCACUAAUGUGGGUAAAUUCACCGUCGGUUGGCAGAAAACUAACCGAGACCGAUCGCAGAGUUUCAACACGAUAUCUUUGGGCCCAACGCUUGCCGUAGCUGAGGAACGAUUCAGGCUGAGUGAUGAUAAGGAGAAUAAUACCAUGAAGUAUACAUUGACGAUCAGCGAUAUCGUUAACACCGAUGCCGGUCUAUACGAAUGUCAGAUCCAGGUGAACAGCACUAACAAAGUGACAGCCACGGUUGAACUUCUGGUUCGACAUCCUCCGAUUCUGCAGGAUAAUUUGAUUGCAACUGCCAUCACGAAAGCCGAAGGAGAGGAUGUGAAGCUGGCGUGUGCUGCCGAAGGCUAUCCUCGGCCGUCGAUCACGUGGAAGCGAGAGUAUAGCGCAAUUUUGCCGAUCGGUGGACAGUCCUUUAGCGGCAACGAGCUGUCUCUGUCCUCUUUGGCCAAAGAGGAUCGUGGUACGUACUUCUGUAUAGCUGAUAACGGAGUUGGAAAGCCGGAUUCCAAGACCAUCAAUCUGGAAGUCGAAUUUGCACCGGUUAUCUCGGUGCCACGACCGAAAGUAGCCCAAGCUACCGAAUACGACAUAGAGCUGGAAUGUGUGGUGCAGGCAUUCCCUUCUCCGGCCAUCUCUUGGUACAAAAAAGGACAGCAAAUUCAUAAUGGUGGGUCGUACAGCAUUUCCCAAACUGGACAGCCGGAUGAUGUCACAACAUCCGUUGUAAAGAUAACGUCAGUUGGAAGUUCACACUAUGGAGACUAUAUAUGCAAAGCCUCGAAUAAAGAGGGUCACGCCGAAGCCAGAUUGAAUCUUUAUGAAUCCUUUAUUCCUGUGUCCUAUUAAAGAUGUAUUUUGUUGAUUAUCUUUUCUGUUCAUCCUCGUACACCUCUUUACGUUUCCGGUGAGAACAACGCGUUCCCAACAUAAACUUCUCCGGCCUGAAGUGGUCCAACUCGGGACAUGCUCUCGUAAGUCAUUUGGGGAUUGUUGUGGUAACAAUGCUUCUGGCGACGCUGUUGUGAAUGAGAAAAACAACCAACUGAUUGUCAA